AUUGAGUGGGAAUAAAAGUGUAAGUUAAAUUGAUUGGGGAAAGCCUAUUUUGAAGGUUUUCCCCAUUUUUGUAAGGUAAUAAAAUGGUUAGAAAUAAAUAGUUCCCCACCAAAAACCCAGAAUUGAGC
rnacentral:sRNA from 1 species